AUCUUAUAGGUAACUGAUAGUGAAUUUAUAAAGCAAUUUAUUGCUUUCACAGUACAGUGAUGGAAACGAUCAAACUAUAGCUUAGUCAAUUUAGUAAUAAAUUUUACGUACCUUUUGCAUCAUGGGUCAGCCACUUAAUAAACAUAAAAGUUAUUUAUAAUUUACUUAAAUAUACUAUUCAU
rnacentral:rRNA from 1 species